rnacentral:tRNA from 1 species
GGGGUUGUGGCUCAAUGGUAGAGUGGUCACCUACCAAGUGUGAAGCACUGGGUUUGAUUCUCAGCACCA